rnacentral:rRNA from 1 species
GGUUAAGUUAGAAAGGGCGCACGGUGAAUGCCUUGGCACUAGGAGCCGAUGAAGGACGGGACUAACACCGAUAUGCUUCGGGGAGCUGUAAGUGAGCUUUGAUCCGGAGAUUUCCGAAUGGGGAAACCCACUGUUCGUAAUGGAACAGUAUCUUUAUCUGAAUACAUAGGAUAUUGAAGGCAGACCCGGGGAACUGAAACAUCUAAGUACCCGGAGGAAGAGAAAGCAAAUGCGAUUUCCUGAGUAGCGGCGAGCGAAACGGAAUUAGCCCAAACCAAGAGGCUUGCCUCUUGGGGUUGUAGGACACUCUAUACGGAGUUACAAAGGAACGAAGUAAAUGAAGCGACCUGGAAAGGUCCGUCGAAGAAGGUAACAACCCUGUAGUUGAAACUUCGUUCCCUCUUGAGUGGAUCCUGAGUACGGCGGAACACGUGAAAUUCCGUCGGAAGCUGGGAGGACCAUCUCCCAAGGCUAAAUACUACCUAGUGACCGAUAGUGAACCAGUACCGUGAGGGAAAGGUGAAAAGCACCCCGGAAGGGGAGUGAAAGAGAUCCUGAAACCGUGUGCCUACAAGUAGUCAGAGCCCGUUAACGGGUGAUGGCGUGCCUUUUGUAGAAUGAACCGGCGAGUUACGAUCCCAUGCAAGGUUAAGCUGAUAAGGCGGAGCCGUAGCGAAAGCGAGUCUGAAUAGGGCGUUUAGUAUGUGGUUGUAGACCCGAAACCAGGUGAUCUACCCAUGUCCAGGGUGAAGUUCAGGUAACACUGAAUGGAGGCCCGAACCCACGCACGUUGAAAAGUGCGGGGAUGAGGUGUGGGUAGCGGAGAAAUUCCAAUCGAACCUGGAGAUAGCUGGUUCUCUCCGAAAUAGCUUUAGGGCUAGCCUCAUGUUGUGAGAGUCUUGGAGGUAGAGCACUGAUUGGACUAGGGGCCCCCAACGGGUUACCGAAUUCAGUCAAACUCCGAAUGCCAAAGACUUAUCCAUGGGAGUCAGACUGCGAGUGAUAAGAUCCGUAGUCAAAAGGGAAACAGCCCAGACCACCAGCUAAGGUCCCCAAGUAUACGUUAAGUGGAAAAGGAUGUGGAGUUGCUUAGACAACCAGGAUGUUGGCUUAGAAGCAGCCACCAUUUAAAGAGUGCGUAAUAGCUCACUGGUCGAGUGACUCUGCGCCGAAAAUGUACCGGGGCUAAACGUAUCACCGAAGCUGUGGAUUGACAUCUUUGAUGUCAGUGGUAGGAGAGCGUUCUAAGUGCUGUGAAGUCAGACCGUAAGGACUGGUGGAGCGCUUAGAAGUGAGAAUGCCGGUAUGAGUAGCGAAAGACAAGUGAGAAUCUUGUCCACCGAAUGCCUAAGGUUUCCUGAGGAAGGCUCGUCCGCUCAGGGUUAGUCGGGACCUAAGCCGAGGCUGAAAAGCGUAGGCGAUGGCCAACAGGUUGAUAUUCCUGUACCACCUCCCCGCCGUUUGAGUAAUGGGGGGACGCAGUAGGAUAGGGUAAGCGCGCUGCUGGAUAUGCGCGUUCAAGCAGUUAGGCUGAUGAGUAGGCAAAUCCGCUCAUCAUAAAGGCUGAGCUGUGAUGACGAGGGAAUUAUAGUACCGAAGUUCCUGAUUCCACACUGCCAAGAAAAGCCUCUAGCGAGGCGGGAGGUGCCCGUACCGCAAACCGACACAGGUAGGCGAGGAGAGAAUCCUAAGGUGAUCGAGAGAACUCUCGUUAAGGAACUCGGCAAAAUGACCCCGUAACUUCGGGAGAAGGGGUGCUCUGGUAGGGUGUAUAGCCCGAGAGAGCCGCAGUGAAUAGGCCCAGGCGACUGUUUAGCAAAAACACAGGUCUCUGCGAAGCCGCAAGGCGAAGUAUAGGGGCUGACGCCUGCCCGGUGCUGGAAGGUUAAGAGGAGGGGUUAUCCUUUGGGAGAAGCUCUGAAUCGAAGCCCCAGUAAACGGCGGCCGUAACUAUAACGGUCCUAAGGUAGCGAAAUUCCUUGUCGGGUAAGUUCCGACCCGCACGAAAGGCGUAACGAUCUGGGCACUGUCUCAACGAGAGACUCGGUGAAAUUAUAGUACCUGUGAAGAUGCAGGUUACCCGCGACAGGACGGAAAGACCCCGUGGAGCUUUACUGUAGCCUGAUAUUGAAUUUUGGUACAGCUUGUACAGGAUAGGUAGGAGCCUGAGAAACCGGAGCGCUAGCUUCGGUGGAGGCGUCGGUGGGAUACUACCCUGGCUGUAUUGAAAUUCUAACCCGCGGCCCUGAUCGGGCCGGGAGACAGUGUCAGGUGGGCAGUUUGACUGGGGCGGUCGCCUCCUAAAAUGUAACGGAGGCGCCCAAAGGUUCCCUCAGAAUGGUUGGAAAUCAUUCGUAGAGUGUAAAGGCACAAGGGAGCUUGACUGCGAGACCUACAAGUCGAGCAGGGACGAAAGUCGGGCUUAGUGAUCCGGUGGUUCCGCAUGGAAGGGCCAUCGCUCAACGGAUAAAAGCUACCCCGGGGAUAACAGGCUUAUCUCCCCCAAGAGUCCACAUCGACGGGGAGGUUUGGCACCUCGAUGUCGGCUCAUCGCAUCCUGGGGCUGUAGUCGGUCCCAAGGGUUGGGCUGUUCGCCCAUUAAAGCGGUACGCGAGCUGGGUUCAGAACGUCGUGAGACAGUUCGGUCCCUAUCCGUCGUGGGCGUAGGAAAUUUGAGAGGAGCUGUCCUUAGUACGAGAGGACCGGGAUGGACACACCGCUGGUGUACCAGUUGUCUUGCCAAAGGCAUCGCUGGGUAGCUAUGUGUGGACGGGAUAAGUGCUGAAAGCAUCUAAGCAUGAAGCCCCCCUCAAGAUGAGAUUUCCCAUAGCGCAAGCUAGUAAGAUCCCUGAAAGAUGAUCAGGUUGAUAGGUCAGAGGUGGAAGCGUGGCGACAUGUGUAGCUGACUGAUACUAAUCGAUCGAGGACUUAACCAA